GUUUCGGUAGUUUAAAAGCUUAGGACGCUUGUACGGAACAUAAGAGAUCCGGGUUCGACUCCCGGUCGAGGUA
rnacentral:tRNA from 1 species